rnacentral:rRNA from 1 species
UACGUAGGCAGCAAGCGUUGUUCGGAGUUACUGGGCGUAAAGGGUGUGUAGGCGGUUGGAUAAGUGUGGUGUGAAAUCUCCCGGCUCAACUGGGAGGGUGCGCUACAAACUGUCUGACUAGAGUGUGGGAUGGGUAAGUGGAAUUCCUGGUGUAGCGGUGAAAUGCGUAGAUAUCAGGAGGAACACCGAUGGCGAAGGCAGGUCUCUGGGCCGAUACUGACGCUGAGGAGCGAAAGCGUGGGGAGCGAACAGG